CCGGCGACCGGCGCACGGGUGAGUAACACGUAUGCGACCUGACCCCCCGCAGGGGGGAUUAACCGGGAGAAAUCCCGACUAAUACCGCGUAACGCCGCGGACCUGCAUGGGUCUGCGGCCAAAGGAAGCGAUUCCGGCGGGGGAUGGGCAUGCGGCGCAUUAGCUAGUCGGCGGGGUAACGGCCCACCGAGGCGACGAUGCGUAGGGGUUCUGAGAGGAAGGUCCCCCACACUGGUACUGAGACACGGACCAGACUCCUACGGAAGGCAGCAG
rnacentral:rRNA from 1 species